AGCAAAAUUAUCUCUGUUUUAUGAUGGAGUCACUAAUGCAUUAUGACCGCGCUAUUCUCUCGUAUAACAGGGAAAGCAAGAUGUGGUAAAACAAGAAAAAGGACUGUACUCCAGCAAAGAAGGUUAUUCCUUUUAAAAGACAACUAGACAACAUCAUUACAAAACUCCAACUCUGAAUUUCUGUUCUUUCCUUAGAAUCAGCACAGGUCCUCGGUCCUCCCAAAAGUCCCUUCAGACAUUAUUGCUAGAGCCUAGACACAAGCUUAGUACUAUCAUCAAAGAAGAUUAAAGUAUUUCCCAUAGCCAGUGAGUGAGUUUUAUAAUGUUGUUAAACAUUAAGCAACAAGCAAAGCCCAUAUUCA
rnacentral:lncRNA from 1 species